CAGUCGAGCGGACUUGAUGGAGAGCUUGCUCUCCUGAUGGUUAGCGGCGGACGGGUGAGUAACACGUAGGCAACCUGCCUGCAAGACCGGGAUAACCCACGGAAACGUGAGCUAAUACCGGAUAUCUCAUUUCCUCUCCUGAGGGAAUGAUGAAAGACGGAGCAAUCUGUCACUUGCGGAUGGGCCUGCGGCGCAUUAGCUAGUUGGUGAGGUAACGGCUCACCAAGGCGACGAUGCGUAGCCGACCUGAGAGGGUGAACGGCCACACUGGGACUGAGACACGGCCCAGACUCCUACGGGAGGCAGCAGUAGGGAAUCUUCCGCAAUGGGCGAAAGCCUGACGGAGCAACGCCGCGUGAGUGAUGAAGGUUUUCGGAUCGUAAAGCUCUGUUGCCAGGGAAGAACGUCCGAUAGAGUAACUGCUAUCGGAGUGACGGUACCUGAGAAGAAAGCCCCGGCUAACUACGUGCCAGCAGCCGCGGUAAUACGUAGGGGGCAAGCGUUGUCCGGAAUUAUUGGGCGUAAAGCGCGCGCAGGCGGUCAUUUAAGUCUGGUGUUUAAGGCCAAGGCUCAACCUUGGUUCGCACUGGAAACUGGGUGACUUGAGUGCAGAAGAGGAGAGUGGAAUUCCACGUGUAGCGGUGAAAUGCGUAGAUAUGUGGAGGAACACCAGUGGCGAAGGCGACUCUCU
rnacentral:rRNA from 1 species